UACAGAGGUCUCAAGCGUUGUUCGGAAUCACUGGGCGUAAAGCGCACGUAGGCGGAUCGUUAAGUCAGGGGUGAAAUCCUGGAGCUCAACUCCAGAACUGCCUUUGAUACUGGCGACCUUGAGUUCGGGAGAGGUGAGUGGAACUGCGAGUGUAGAGGUGAAAUUCGUAGAUAUUCGGAAGAACACCAGUGGCGAAGGCGGCUCACUGGUCCGGUACUGACGCUGAGGUGCGAAAGCGUGGGGAGCAAACAGG
rnacentral:rRNA from 1 species